GCGGCCGAGGGCUCCGGUCGCCGCGAGGAUGAUUCACGAGCUGCUGCUGGCGCUGAGCGGGUACCCGGGCUCCAUCUUCACCUGGAACAAGCGGAGCGGCCUGCAGGUGUCCCAGGACUUCCCAUUUCUCCACCCAAGUGAGACCAGCGUUUUGAAUCGCCUCUGUCGACUCGGCACCGACUACAUUCGCUUCACCGAGUUCAUUGAGCAGUACACAGGCCAUGUACAGCAACAGGAUCACCAUCCAUCUCAGCAAGGCCAAGGUGGGUUACAUGGAAUCUACCUGAGGGCCUUCUGCACAGGGCUCGAUUCCGUUUUGCAGCCCUAUCGCCAAGCACUGCUUGAUUUGGAGCAAGAGUUCCUGGCUGACCCUCAUCUCCCCAUAUCACACGUCAAUUACUCCUUAGAUCAGUUCCAGCUCCUUUUUCCUUCUGUGACAGUUGUAGUAGAGCAAAUUAAGAGUCAGAAGAUUCAUGGUUGUCAAAUCCUGGAAACAGUCUACAAACACAGCUGUGGAGGUUUGCCUCCUGUUCGAAGUGCACUAGAAAAAAUCCUGGCUGUGUGUCACGGGGUCAUGUAUAAACAGCUCUCAGCCUGGAUGUUGCAUGGUCUGCUCUUGGACCAGCAUGAAGAGUUCUUCAUCAAGCAGGGUCCAUCUUCAGGCACGAUCAAUGCCCAGCCAGAAGAGGACGAAGAGGAUCUAGGUAUUGGAGGACUGACAGGAAAACAACUGAGAGAACUCCAGGACUUGCGCCUGAUUGAAGAGGAGAACAUGCUGGCCCCUUCUCUGAAGCAGUUUUCCCUGCGGGUGGAGAUUCUGCCCUCCUACAUUCCAGUGAGGGUUGCUGAAAAAAUCCUCUUUGUUGGAGAAUCUGUCCAGAUGUUUGAGAAUCAAAAUGUGAACCUCACUAGAAAAGGGUCCAUUUUGAAGAACCAGGAGGACACGUUUGCUGCAGAGCUGCACCGGCUCAAGCAGCAGCCUCUCUUCAGCCUGGUGGACUUUGAGCAGGUGGUGGAUCGCAUUCGUAGCACUGUGGCCGAGCAUCUCUGGAAGCUGAUGGUAGAAGAGUCAGAUUUACUGGGUCAACUGAAGAUCAUUAAAGACUUUUACCUUUUGGGACGAGGAGAACUGUUUCAGGCCUUCAUUGACACCGCUCAGCACAUGCUGAAGACCCCCCCUGCCGCAGUAACUGAGCAUGAUGUAAAUGUAGCCUUUCAACAGUCCGCACACAAAGUACUGCUGGAUGAUGACAACCUGCUCCCUCUGCUGCACUUGACAAUCGAGUACCAUGGGAAGGAGCACAAAGGAGAUGCUACUCAGAUGAGAGAAGGUCCUUCUCGAGAAACCUCCCCCCGCGAAGCUCCUGCCUCUGGCUGGGCAGCGCUAGGUCUUUCCUACAAAGUACAGUGGCCUCUACACAUUCUCUUCACCCCAGCUGUCCUAGAAAAGUACAAUGUUGUUUUUAAAUACUUACUGAGUGUGCGCCGGGUCCAAGCUGAACUGCAGCACUGUUGGGCCCUACAAAUGCAGCGCAAGCAUCUCAAGUCCAACCAGACUGAUGCCGUGAAGUGGCGCCUAAGAAAUCACAUGGCCUUCUUGGUGGAUAAUCUUCAGUACUAUCUGCAGGUAGAUGUUCUGGAGUCUCAGUUCUCACAGCUGCUUCAUCAGAUCAACUCUACCCGAGACUUUGAAAGCAUUCGCCUGGCUCAUGACCACUUCCUCAGCAACUUGCUGGCUCAGUCCUUUAUCUUGCUGAAACCUGUGUUUCACUGCUUGAAUGAAAUCCUCGAUCUCUGUCACAGUUUCUGUUCGCUGGUCAGCCAGAACCUAGGCCCCCUGGAUGAGCGCGGAGCUGCCCAGCUGGGCAUUCUCGUGAAGGGCUUCAGCCGCCAGUCUUCACUCCUAUUCAAGAUUCUCUCCAGUGUUCGCAACCAUCAAAUCAACUCAGAUUUGGCUCAACUACUCUUACGAUUAGAUUACAACAAAUACUACACCCAAGCUGGAGGAACACUGGGCAGUUUUGGGAUGUGAACUUUUUUCAUAAACUGAAGUAACUGAAGUAACAGUCACCAUAUUCCCAAGUUGUAACAGAAGACUGAAAACAUCUCAAUCUCUAGCAACUCACCAAAUGUCUGCAGCCUGGUGAGAGUUCUACCUUUUCUCCUAGAAGCCACACAAAAGUACAGAUCCUUCUAUCACUCCCCAGAGGAAGAAAUGUAUGAUUGACAGACUCCCACCCACUCUUAAGGAUCUUCAAAACUGUGAACCUGAGGAGUUUUGCCAGUAAGUUCCAAUUCUUUUAGAUUAGUAAGAGGGAAAUUCUGUCUAGUUAAUGACAAUAUAUUCUGCAUUUAAGAAAAAGUAGGUCACAUUGUUCUUUAUCCUUUUUUUUUUUCCAGUCUUGGGGCUUAGACUCAGGGCCUGAGCACUGUCCCUGGCUUCUUUUUGCUCAAAGCUAGCACCUU